rnacentral:sRNA from 1 species
UAUCCAAAGACAGUAAAAAUAGUAGCAACCGAAGACUCUACUACAACGCUCUAAGACGAGGAAGAGGAAGAACAACUUGUGAAUUUCUCCGUAAGGUUGUGGUAUCUGUUCUGGUGGCGGCCGGUGGUGGUCAGUGGUGGUUGGUGAUGAUUCAUAGGUGGAUAUGGUGUUUAGUAGACGUCGCCGGCGUUGGUAGGAGCUGAUUCUAGUUCAUUCCUUUUGGUUGAGUUUUUUUUUUUUUUUUCGUUUUCCACUCUGUAGUUUGGAUUUGACUUGGAUUACACAUUCGAGAGAUGUUUCCGAUUACAGAAUUUAAAGAUACAGUAGAUUACACUGUUUGGAAAUGUUUGGGAUUAUAUAAUCUGAAAUGCAUAUAUUUAUGUAUUAGGGAAUGCAUAAUACUUUGUAGUGUCUCUUCACACACAAAAUUUAUAAAUAUUUGGAAG